CCUACGGGGCGCAGCAGUGAGGAAUAUUGGUCAAUGGGAGAGAUCCUGAACCAGCCAAGCCGCGUGAGGGAUGAAGGCACAAUGGAUUGUAAACCUCUUUUGUCAGAGAACAAAACCCGGGACGCGUCCCCGACUGCGUGUAUCUGAAGAAAAAGCAUCGGCUAACUCCGUGCCAGCAGCCGCGGUAAUACGGAGGAUGCGAGCGUUAUCCGGAUUUAUUGGGUUUAAAGGGUGCGUAGGCGGUCUGUUAAGUCAGCGGUCAAAUUGCGGGGCUCAACCCCGUCCCGCCGUUGAAACUGGCAGAC
rnacentral:rRNA from 1 species